CCUGCUGCUAGAGGCAUUGCAGGUGCGGCUGCUAUGUCACAUGGACGCCAGUAGGUGGCAGAGAUGAGAGGGGCUCUGUCUAUGCUCAGUGUUCUGACCAGUGACCAUCUGAAUGAUUAGUUCCCUGAAAAA